rnacentral:rRNA from 1 species
CAGCCGCCGCGGUAAUACGUAUGUCUCAAGCGUUAUCCGGAAUUACUGGGUGUAAAGGGUUUGUAGGUGGUAAAAUAAGUUGGAUAUGAAAGACCGGAGCUUAACUUCGAGUUUGUAUUCAAAACUGUUUUACUAGAAUUAGGGAGAGGUAAGCGGAAUUCUAAGUGUAGGGGUGCAAUCCGUAGAUACUUAGAAGAACACCAAAAGCGAAGGCAGCUUACUGGAACUAUAUUGACGCUGAAAAACGAAAGCGUGGGGAGCAAAAAGGAUUAGAUACCCUUGUAGUCCACGCCCUAAACGUUGAUAACUUAGUGUUGGAGAGAGAUCUUCAGUGCUGAAGCUAACGCGAUAAGUUAUCCACCUGAGGAGUACGGUCGCAAGAUUAAAACUCAAAGGAAUAGACGGGGACCCACACAAGCAGUGGAUCACGUGGUUUAAUUCGACAAUAAACGGGGAACCUUACCCAGACUUGACAUCUAUAGAAUCUUGUAGAAAUAUGAGAGUGCCUGUAAAGGAGCUAUAAGACAGGUGCUGCAUGGUUGUCGUCAGCUCGUGCCUUGAGGUGUUCGGUUAAGUCCGUUAACGAGCGCAACCCAUGUUGUUAGUUAUAUUUUCUAACAAGACUGCCUAGGUUAACUAGGAGGAAGGUGUGGAUGACGUCAAAUCAGCAUGGCUUUUACGUCUGGGGCUACACACAUGAUACAAUGGUAUAUACAAAUAGUAGCAAUAUGGCAACAUAGAGCCAAUCUUAAAAGUAUAUCUCAGUCCGGAUUGAGGGCUGCAACUCGCCCUCAUGAAGUUGGAAUUGCUAGUAAUCGUAAAUCAGACAUGUUACGGUGAAUAUGUUCCUGGGUCUUGUACUCACCGCCCGUCACGGCAUGGGAGGUAAUAAUAUCGGAAGCUCCUCUAGUAAUAAGAGGGUCCAUGGUAGGAUUACUGACUGGGCUGAAGUCGUAACAAGGUACCCGUA